AAACUUGAGAGUUUGAUCAUGGCUCAGAACGUACGCUGGCGGCACGCCUAACACAUGCAAGUCGAACGAAGUAGCAAUACUUAGUGGCAGACGGGUGAGUAACAUGUGGGUAUCUGCCCUUUGGCCUGGAAUAACACGAGGAAACUUGUGCUAAUACCGGAUAAGUCUUUACGGAGAAAGCUUUAUGCACCAUUGGAUGAGCCCGCACUUGAUUAGUUUGUUGGUGGGGUAAUGGCCCACCAAGACUGUGAUCAAUAGCUGAUUUGAGAGGAUGAUCAGCCACAUUGGGACUGAGACACGGCCCAAACUCCUACGGGAGGCAGCAGUGGGGAAUCUUGCACAAUGGAGGAAACUCUGAUGCAGCGAUGCCGCGUGAGUGAAGAAGGCCCUUGGGUUGUAAAGCUCUUUCGUCGGGGAAGAAAAUGACUGUACCCGAAUAAGAAGGUCCGGCUAACUUCGUGCCAGCAGCCGCGGUAAUACGAAGGGACCUAGCGUAGUUCGGAAUUACUGGGCUUAAAGAGUUCGUAGGUGGUUGAAAAAGUUAGUGGUGAAAUCCCAGAGCUUAACUCUGGAACUGCCAUUAAAACUUUUCAGCUAGAGUAUGAUAGAGGAAAGCAGAAUUUCUAGUGUAGAGGUGAAAUUCGUAGAUAUUAGAAAGAAUACCAAUUGCGAAGGCAGCUUUCUGGAUCAUUACUGACACUGAGGAACGAAAGCAUGGGUAGCGAAGAGGAUUAGAUACCCUCGUAGUCCAUGCCGUAAACGAUGUGUGUUAGACGUUGGAAAUUUAUUUUCAGUGUCGCAGCGAAAGCGAUAAACACACCGCCUGGGGAGUACGACCGCAAGGUUAAAACUCAAAUGAAUUGACGGGGACCCGCACAAGUAGUGGAGCAUGUGGUUUAAUUCGAAGAUACGCGCAGAACCUUACCAACACUUGACAUGUUCGUCGCGACUCUAAGAGAUUAGAGUUUUCGGUUCGGCCGGACGAAACACAGGUGCUGCAUGGCUGUCGUCAGCUCGUGUCGUGAGAUGUUGGGUUAAGUCCCGCAACGAGCGCAACCCUCACUUUUAGUUGCCAUCAUUAAGUUGGGCACUCUGAAAGAACUGCCAGUGAUAAGCUGGAGGAAGGUGGGGAUGACGUCAAGUCCUCAUGGCCCUUACGUGUUGGGCUACACACGUGCUACAAUGGUAUCUACAACAGGAAGCAAGACUGCGAGGUCAAGCAAAUCCUUAAAAGAUACCUCAGUUCGGAUUGCACUCUGCAACUCGAGUGCAUGAAGCUGGAAUUACUAGUAAUCGUGGAUCAGCGUGCCACGGUGAAUGCGUUCCCGGGUCUUGUACACACCGCCCGUCACACCAUGGGAGUUGGUUCUACCUUAAGGCAAGGUUUCAAACCCUUGACCACGGUAUAGUCAGCGACUGGGGUGAAGUCGUAACAAGGUAGCCGUAGGGGAACCUGCGGCUGGAUUACCUCCUUU
rnacentral:rRNA from 1 species